GGGCACAUGGUGUAGUUGGUUAUCACAUCCGCUUAGCAUCGAUUGAAUUUAAAAGGAGCUUCUCUGCGGGGGGUGCUGGGUUCAAUUCCCAGUGUGUCCA